rnacentral:tRNA from 1 species
GGCCCAUAAGCUCAGUUGGUUAGAGCGCCGUGCUAAUAACGCGGAGGUCCUGGGUUCGAUCCCCAUAUGGGCCA